CCUACGGGAGGCAGCAGUGAGGAAUAUUGGUCAAUGGGCGGAAGCCUGAACCAGCCAAGUCGCGUGAGGGAAUAAGGCCCUACGGGUCGUAAACCUCUUUUGCCGGGGAGCAAGGGCUGGGACGUGUCCCGGCCCGGAGGGUACCCGGAGAAAAAGCAUCGGCUAACUCCGUGCCAGCAGCCGCGGUAAUACGGGGGAUCCGAGCGUUAUCCGGAUUUAUUGGGUUUAAAGGGAGCGUAGGUGGAUUGUUAAGUCAUGUGUGAAAGUUGGCGGCGCAACCGUAAAAUUGCAGUUGAAACUGGCAGUCUUGAGUACAGGAGAGGUGGGCGGAAUGCGUGGUGUAGCGGUGAAAUGCUUAGAUAUCACGAAGAACUCCGAUUGCGAAGGCAGCUCACUGGACUGCAACUGACACUGAGGCUCGAAAGUGUGGGUAUCAAACAGGAUUAGAUACCCGAGUAGUC
rnacentral:rRNA from 1 species